GAUGAACGCUAUCGGCAGGCCUAAUACAUGCAAGUCGAGGGGUAGAGAGAGCUUGCUUUCUUGAGACCGGCGCACGGGUGCGUAACGCGUAUGCAACCUACCUUUAUCUGGGGGAUAGCCCGGAGAAAUCCGGAUUAAUACCGCAUAAAAUCACAGAAUAGCAUUAUUUAAUGAUCAAACAUUUAUGGGAUGAAGAUGGGCAUGCGUGUCAUUAGCUAGUUGGCGGGGUAACGGCCCACCAAGGCGACGAUGACUAGGGGAUCUGAGAGGAUGGCCCCCCACACUGGUACUGAGACACGGACCAGACUCCUACGGGAGGCAGCAGUAAGGAAUAUUGGUCAAUGGAGGCAACUCUGAACCAGCCAUGCCGCGUGCAGGAAGACUGCCCUAUGGGUUGUAAACUGCUUUUAUCCGGGAAUAAACCUUUCUACGUGUAGGAAGCUGAAUGUACCGGAAGAAUAAGGAUCGGCUAACUCCGUGCCAGCAGCCGCGGUAAUACGGAGGAUCCAAGCGUUAUCCGGAUUUAUUGGGUUUAAAGGGUGCGUAGGCGGCCUGUUAAGUCAGGGGUGAAAGACGGUAGCUCAACUAUCGCAGUGCCCUUGAUACUGAUGGGCUUGAAUGGACUAGAGGUAGGCGGAAUGAGACAAGUAGCGGUGAAAUGCAUAGAUAUGUCUCAGAACACCGAUUGCGAAGGCAGCUUACUAUGGUCUUAUUGACGCUGAGGCACGAAAGCGUGGGGAUCAAACAGGAUUAGAUACCCUGGUAGUCCACGCCCUAAACGAUGAACACUCGCUGUUGGCGAUACACAGUCAGCGGCUAAGCGAAAGCGUUAAGUGUUCCACCUGGGGAGUACGCCCGCAAGGGUGAAACUCAAAGGAAUUGACGGGGGCCCGCACAAGCGGAGGAGCAUGUGGUUUAAUUCGAUGAUACGCGAGGAACCUUACCCGGGCUCGAAAGUUAGUGAAUGAUCUAGAGAUAGAUCAGUGAGCAAUCACACGAAACUAGGUGCUGCAUGGCUGUCGUCAGCUCGUGCCGUGAGGUGUUGGGUUAAGUCCCGCAACGAGCGCAACCCCUAUGUUUAGUUGCCAGCAUGUAAUGAUGGGGACUCUAAACAGACUGCCUGUGCAAACAGAGAGGAAGGAGGGGACGACGUCAAGUCAUCAUGGCCCUUACGUCCGGGGCUACACACGUGCUACAAUGGAUGGUACAGAGGGCAGCUAGCUGGCAACAGUAUGCGAAUCUCACAAAGCCAUUCACAGUUCGGAUUGGGGUCUGCAACUCGACCCCAUGAAGUUGGAUUCGCUAGUAAUCGCGUAUCAGCAAUGACGCGGUGAAUACGUUCCCGGGCCUUGUACACACCGCCCGUCAAGCCAUGGAAGUUGGGGGUACCUAAAGUAUGUAACCGCAAGGAGCGUCCUAGGGUAAAACCGAUAACUGGGGC
rnacentral:rRNA from 1 species